rnacentral:ncRNA from 2 species
CGAUAUGUUGUGCCUGUCGGUUCUGGCGGGCGCUACCCGCCGGAUGAAAAGGGAAGCCGGUGAAGCCCCAUGGGCCAUUCCGGCGCUGCCCCGCAGCGGUAAUUGGGAACGACCCCGCCACACAGCACUGGAGCCGCCACGGCACCGGGAAGCGGCGGGCAAGGUGGAGGCCAGGCGCCUCCGUGCCCAUGAGCCCGAAGACCUGCCGACAGCCGCGCGCAAGC